GUGUCAGCAGCCGCGGUAAUACGUAGGAGGCGAGCGUUAUUCGGAUUUACUGGGCGUAAAGAAGGCGUAGGCGGCCUUUCAAGUCGGAUGUGAAAUCUUCUGGCUUAACUGGAAGGGGUCAUCCGAUACUGUUGGGCUAGAGGGCAGCAGGGGGAGGUAGAAUUCCCGGUGUAGUGGUGAAAUGCGUAGAUAUCGGGAGGAAUACCAGUGGCGAAGGCGGCCUUCUAGGCUGUUUCUGACGCUGAGGCCUGAAAGUGUGGGGAGCGAACAGGAUUAGAUACCCUGGUAGUCCACACCGUAAACGAUGGACACUAGGUAUAGGGAGUAUCGACCCUCUCUGUGCCGAAGCUAACGCUUUAAGUGUCCCGCCUGGGGAGUACGGCCGCAAGGCUAAAACUCAAAUGAAUUGACGGGG
rnacentral:rRNA from 1 species